CCUACGGGAGGCAGCAGUGAGGAAUAUUGGUCAAUGGACGAGAGUCUGAACCAGCCAAGUAGCGUGAAGGAUGACUGCCCUAUGGGUUGUAAACUUCUUUUAUAUGGGAAUAAAAUGUUCCACGUGUGGGAUUUUGUAUGUACCAUAUGAAUAAGGAUCGGCUAACUCCGUGCCAGCAGCCGCGGUAAUACGGAGGAUCCGAGCGUUAUCCGGAUUGAUUGGGUGUAAAGGGAGCGUAGGUGGAUUGUUAAGUCAGUUGUGAAAGUUUGCGGCUCAACCGUAAAAUUGCAGUUGAAACUGGCAGUCUUGAGUACAGUAGAGGUGGGCGGAAUUCGUGGUGUAGCGGUGAAAUGCUUAGAUAUCACGAAGAACUCCGAUUGCGAAGGCAGCUCACUGGACUGCAACUGACACUGAGGCUCGAAAGUGUGGGUAUCAAACAGGAUUAGAUACCCGUGUAGUC
rnacentral:rRNA from 1 species